GACAAAUCCUCUACCAGCUAAACCAGGAGCUCCAACUCCAAGACUGCCUAUGAGAGGAAUGCCCUGUGGAAGGAAAGUGGGUGGGUUCACCUCCCACUCCCCGUUCAGUCAUUGUUUGGGAGCUGCCACAUGAGCUAGAUCUCAGCUGCUGCUGGUAAUCUAUUGUCUCACACCACCCAGUGUUGAGCUUGACUUCAGCUAGAGGCAGUUAGCUAACUACAGGAGUUGCAGCUGGGUAGUGAGUCCUUUAUUGAAAGAGAAUCUGAGCCUUAGCCUGAAUCUACUGCUUUUUAGCUGAAUGUUAUACAAUAUUUUUGUGUAUUAAUUGAUAUUUUGUCAAUGGAUUCAUUUAAAAUGAAGAUUUACCUAUAUUGUGGCUAAUAGAAAUUGUAAACAAAAUUAUUUUCCAAAAACAAGCUGCCUUUACACAAUUAUCUGAUUUGUUUCCCCCCAGCUCUGGAAAGUUUUUUCAAGAAGUUCUUAAUCUCACAGCUUUAAAUCAGCCUCUUAAGGACACACCCAGCAUCAGCAGCAUCAACUUUCGAUCCUGAGAACGAGUCAUCUACAUACCUAGCCUAGUGAAGUCUUUAGAUGACCAAAGCUCUGACCAGUAUCUCAUCAUAACUGCCAGAGCUAAAUCAUUCCCAAAUUCCUGACUUGUAAAAUUGUGAACAAAAUAAAAGUAUAGUUUUAAGCCAUUAA